rnacentral:rRNA from 1 species
UACGUAGGGGGCUAGCGUUGUCCGGAAUCAUUGGGCGUAAAGCGCGUGUAGGCGGCCCGGUAAGUCCGCUGUGAAAGUCGGGGGCUCAACCCUCGAAUGCCGGUGGAUACUGUCGGGCUCGAGUGCGGAAGAGGCGAGUGGAAUUCCUGGUGUAGCGGUGAAAUGCGCAGAUAUCAGGAGGAACACCGAUGGCGAAGGCAGGUCUCUGGGCCACUACUGACGCUGAGAAGCGAAAGCAUGGGGAGCGAACAGG